UACGGAGGGUGCGAGCGUUGUCCGGAAUCAUUGGGCGUAAAGGGCGCGUAGGUGGCCCGGUCAGCGUGCGGUGAAAGCUCGGGGCUCAACCCCGAGUCGGCCGUGCGAACUGCUGGGCUUGAGCACUGUAGAGGCAGGCGGAAUUUCGGGUGUAGCGGUGGAAUGCGUAGAGAUCCGGAAGAACACCGGUGGCGAAGGCGGCCUGCUGGGCAGUGGCUGACACUGAGGCGCGACAGCGUGGGGAGCAAACAGG
rnacentral:rRNA from 1 species